rnacentral:tRNA from 2 species
GCCCCGGUGGUGUAGCGGCCUAUCAUCCGAGCCUGUCGAGCUCGGGACUCGGGUCCGAAUCCCGACCGGGGCGCCA